rnacentral:misc_RNA from 1 species
GGCUCGUUCGCUCAUGAGAUGAGAAAGAGCUGUCCACUGCCUUUCCCAAAACCCUAGUUACUAAACAAUAACCAUAAACCCAACUCAAUGUCUUGCUACUCAACUAUUUUCCAGUUCUCUAUUAGAACAUCCACAGCUAUGGCUUUGAGAACAACCACAUCGUCUUUUCAUUUUCAUUUCCAUAGAACUCCAAACAUAAGUCCUAGGCACCCAAUUCUAUUUCCAUUGGCAUCUUUUGUUUACCUCAGUAAUCCCCAAAUCCUUGAUUCUAAGCAUGUCUCGUAUGUGCCCCUGGAUUUUAAGCAUCGGGGGACAGUUAGGUGUACUGGUGCUGUUUGUUUUUUAGAGUGGAGGACCGUUGCAUCGCCAUUCUCCUGCCUGCAAAACUCGAAUUAUGGACGGUUUGCAUAUCAUGAGGUUUCUAGUGAUGAUUCGGACCGUGAAUUUGGGUCGUCUUCCUCGCAGUCAGUGGUUGGUCACUUGGUUUUUCUUUAUCCCGC